rnacentral:rRNA from 1 species
AACAAACGCUGGCGGCGUGCCUAAUACAUGCAAGUCGAACGAGGAAAGCCUUCGGGCCUACUAGUGGCGCACGGGUGAGUAACGCGUGGGAAUCUGCCCUUGGGUUCGGAAUAACAGUUAGAAAUGACUGCUAAUACCGGAUAAUGUCUUCGGACCAAAGAUUUAUCGCCCAGGGAUGAGCCCGCGUAGGAUUAGCUAGUUGGUGAGGUAAAGGCUCACCAAGGCGACGAUCCUUAGCUGGUCUGAGAGGAUGAUCAGCCACACUGGGACUGAGACACGGCCCAGACUCCUACGGGAGGCAGCAGUGGGGAAUAUUGGACAAUGGGCGAAAGCCUGAUCCAGCAAUGCCGCGUGAGUGAUGAAGGCCUUAGGGUUGUAAAGCUCUUUUACCCGGGAUGAUAAUGACAGUACCGGGAGAAUAAGCCCCGGCUAGCUCCGUGCCAGCAGCCGCGGUAAU